UUUUUUCUUUUUUCCUUUAAUUUUACGGUGCUGUAAAUGUCCAAAAUCUGGAGCCCCUAGUCCAGACUUCACUGGAUAACUAGAGAAACUGAGGCCAAGAGCAGGGCUGUGGCACAGGGAGGCAGCAGCUAGCCAAGGACAUUCCGGCCUCAAGGAGAUAGUGAAUGUGACCAGCAGGGCUGUCAACUUGCUGGCACCAUUGCUAACCUGCUCCUCCCUGAGUGGGGCUGGAGGCCCUGCCUGCCAGGGGUCCAGAGGAGGCAGGAAAAGACCCCACGCCUGUCACUAUGUUUUCCUUCUGAUUUGGUGACACCAAAUGCCCCCUCCUUGCCCAUAACACCCUUCAUACAAGAAAAGCUGAUAAAGUGACAGCAGCCCCAGUGGACUCCAGCAACCCUGGCAGGCUGUGAGGUCAAAUCUCCCUGGGUGCACCUGCCCCACUCAUGGGAAAAUCACUAGUGGCUGCAGGGGCAUGUCACCCUGGCCUCUAGCCCACAGGGGCAGCCCUUCCUAAGACCGGGGCCAUGCAGGCUUUCUAGAAGGCAGGAAAAGGGGCAGAAGGCCACAUGUAGGGACACCAAGCCAGACUGUAGGGCCUUGAUGCAUGUCAUGGUCACUGGAUGGGACAAUAGGGGAGGUGAAGUGACUUGCCCGAGGUCACACUGCUCAGCCCUGGGGCCAGCUGAACCUGUUGUCCUGCUCUGUGGCUGCUCUCGGGGAAGGAACCCUCUGGAAGUGUCAGCUCCCUGCCAGGCACCGCCUGGUCUGUCUCACUGAAGCGUCACUGCAACCCUUUGUUUAUUUAACAAGUAUUUAUUAAGCACCAACCACAGCAACAAACAGGGUUAUUAUUUCUCUUCUCAGCUGAAAAAUCACAGGCUGGGGGUUGGGGAGUGGGGAUGAAAAUGGGGGUCACACAGCAGAAGCGGCUCCCACUCAGGUCCGGUUGGCUCCAGGUCCCCGGCUCACCCUGGUCCCCAGCCUCUGGCUUUGGGCUCCCUUUGCUCAACUCGGAUCCAGAUCCCCCCAUGUCUGUCCGCAGCCCCCCAGGCCCAGCCCCAGCCCCUCCGGUCUCUGAAUCUUCCCCGGCUGCACCGCCAGCCACAGCCCUGCCUCCUCUGAGCCCCUAGGCUCUCACCGCCUGUCUGCACCACUCGGCUCCUUCUCAACUGUGGGAAAAGAACACACUGGCGAAGCCCUUGUGUUUGGGUGGCAAGACGUGGCUCUUGAUCUCAGCUCUGUCACCUCCUAGUGACAGUUUUGGACCUCAGUUUCCUCAUCUGCAAAGUGGACACGAUGGCGAUAGUACCUACAUCACCAGACCCCUGUUGAGGCAAGUGUGAUAACCAGUAGGAACAGAAACCCCGGGCUGAGGGCUUCACUGGGCUUUGCAGGUGGAAUGCAGAUGAUGGUGGUGGUGGUCGUGGUGAUGAUGAUGAUGAUGGCGACACAGGACGGGGGAUGGGGUCUGGGAAACCCAGCGUCAAGUCCUGGCUUCACCACUAACUGCUCCAGCCAGGUGCUCCUUCUCUCCAUCUGCAAAAUGGGGGACCAGAUUUGCUCCCUGGCAGGAGAGCAGGAAGAUGUAAUGAAACAAGGUGCCCAGCACAGAGGAGCUGUGGGUGGGUGUUCCUGAGUCUGAUUAGUCCCUUUCAUCUCUGAAGCCCCUGGGGCUUGCACAGGGAGGCUGACCCUUCCUCUACCAGAAGGAGCACGCACAGGGCAAUAGAGAUGAGGUGGGGCCGAGGGGCUGACUCAGUGUA
rnacentral:lncRNA from 1 species